UCUUUCACGAUGGUGCAAUUCAACAGGAU
rnacentral:piRNA from 1 species